UACGGAGGGUGCAAGCGUUAUCCGGAUUCACUGGGUUUAAAGGGUGCGUAGGAGGGCAGGCAAGUCAGGGGUGAAAUCCCGGAGCUUAACUCCGGAACUGCCUUUGAAACUGCAUUGCUGGAGUGUGUGAGGGGAUAGCGGAAUUCCUAAUGUAGGGGUGAAAUUCGUAGAUAUUGGGAAGAACACCGGUGGCGAAGGCGGCGACCUGGUCCGAUACUGACGCUGAGGCGCGAAAGCGUGGGGAGCAAACAGG
rnacentral:rRNA from 1 species